AUACGGGAGGCAGCAGUAGGGAAUAUUGGUCAAUGGAUGCAAGUCUGAACCAGCCAUGCCGCGUGCAGGAAGAAGGCCUUCUGGGUUGUAAACUGCUUUUACCAGGGGAUAAAAAUCUCAUGCGUGAGAAAUUGAAGGUACCUGGUGAAUAAGCCACGGCUAACUACGUGCCAGCAGCCGCGGUAAUACGUAGGUGGCAAGCGUUGUCCGGAUUUAUUGGGUUUAAAGGGUGCGUAGGCGGCCUUGUAAGUCAGUGGUGAAAUACUCCAGCUUAACUGGAGGGGUGCCAUUGAUACUGCAGGGCUUGAGUACAGAUGAGGUAGGCGGAAUUGACGGUGUAGCGGUGAAAUGCAUAGAUAUCGUCAAGAACUCCGAUAGCGAAGGCAGCUUACUAAGCUGUAACUGACGCUGAGGCACGAAAGUGUGGGGAUCAAACAGGAUUAGAUACCCUGGUAGUCCG
rnacentral:rRNA from 1 species